UACGAAGGGGGCUAGCGUUGUUCGGAAUAACUGGGCGUAAAGGGUUUGUAGGCGGGUAUACAAGGCAGUGGUGAAAGCCCAAGGCUCAACCUUGGAAUUGCCAUUGAAACUGUAUAGCUAGAGAAUGUUAGAGGAAAGUGGAAUUCCUAGUGUAGGAGUGAAAUCCGUAGAGAUUAGGAGGAAUAUCGAUGGCGAAGGCAGCUUUCUGGGACAUUUCUGACGCUGAGAAGCGAAAGCGUGGGUAGCAAACAGG
rnacentral:rRNA from 1 species